rnacentral:tRNA from 1 species
GGUAGCUCAGCCGGUUAGAGCGUGGGAUUCAUAACCCCAAGGUCGGCAGUUCGAUCCUGCCCC